rnacentral:tRNA from 1 species
UGGUGAUCGGCGCGGCGAUCUGCGCGGCCGGACUGCUGUUCCUGCCCGGGCAGGGGAUCGGCGUCCCCCACCACUGUC